rnacentral:lncRNA from 1 species
AUGAGAACUUUCUGGAGAGCGGAAGACUGGUGGAGGUCCAGCUGGAAAAACAUAUGGCCGCAGAGGCAGAAAGAGCGCUUCUUCAGGAUUGACUGCCUCCAAUGUACCUGGACCGAAGCCAGUGCUGCAUCCUCAGGCGCCCCUAGGGAUUGUGCGUGCAGGACGGCACCACCUCACAGCCCCGCUCUGAGAUAUGGGAGCUGUUGCUGCUCUUCCUGGAAUCUCUGCUGCUGCUGCUGCUGCUGCUGCUAACUCGCUUCAGUCGUGUCCGACUCUGUGCGACCCCAUGGACUGCAGCCACCCAAGCUCCUCCGUCCAUGGAAUCUCUGCUACAGGGACAUAAACUCUUUAAGAUUGCCUGACUUAUCAUCCAUCCUUUUCUUCAUUUGAGACUUGAAAUUCGAACUGUGGUGCUGGAGAAGACUCUUGAGAGUCCCUGGGACAGCAAGAUCAAACCAGUCAGUCCUAAAGGAAAUCAACCCUGAAUAUUCAUUGGAAGGAUUGAUGUUGAAGCUGAAGCUCCAGUACACUGGCCACCUGAUGCGAAGAGCAGACUCAUUGAAAAAGACCCUGAUGCUGGGCAAGAUUGAAGGCAGGAGGAGAAGUGGGUAACAGAGGAUGAAAUGAUUGGAGGACAUCAUUGACUCAACAGACAUGAGUUUGAGCAAACUCCGGAAGAUAGUGAAGGACAGGAAAGCUUGGUGUGCUGCAGUUCAUUGGGUCACAAAGAAUCAGAUACAACUGAGUGACUGAACAAUAACAAUAGUUAAACUGAAUCUCCCAAAUAAAUAAAUAAAUAGAACCUG